GAUGCGAUUCGGUUCCCGACGAUCACCAAAAAGAGCCGCCCAAGAACAGCCGCUCGUUCGCUAACGACCAAUUACUAUCAUUCAGUAACAAUAUGGUGAUGAAAACAGGCUAGAUAGCUCUCUAAAUUUGUUAACCAUGACAAAGACAUGUUGGACAUUCAUUAAACGCUUCAGUGAGCUUAAAGAAUUGCAGAGUGAACAUGGCUUCACCCCAGGCCCUCAACCUUUCUUGCCAGAUGCUCUUUUGCUAGAUGCCCACCUGAGAAGACGUCACAUGCUUAUCUUAAGAAAUACGGAUGGCUUGCUGAUUCUGUACUCAUGUACGGCUGUGUCUGGUAUGAAUCAGUUGAGCCCACUGAGGGAGCUGAAAGUGGAAAAGGCUGUUACGGUUAGGCGUUGCCCAUAGUGCCAAAGUCUGAGCCCGAUCGGACUAAAUCUCUUGUGUCCCCAAACCACAACCAACCGUGAUGGAAUCAUUGCUCUGCUACACCAGCCGGUGCAAAGAAUCCCCACAAGAAUCUGUCGGACUCUGGAGAGAAGCGCUACAUGUUAUUCAGUCUCCCUGUAAAUAGUACACUUAUUUUAACCUAGAUUUAAACAAAAUAUAAUAUACAUCUAUGUUUUCACAUGCUGAAAUUAGUCAUGUAUUAUUUAUUUGUUAUUUAAUUGUUUGACAGAAGUACAUUUCUGAAAUCACUCUACCAUCUUUAUUAUUUAAACAUCUUUAUUUUAGUCAUGUAAUGAAUAUGCAUUUUACUAAAUAUACAUUUGUGAUAUUGAUA